rnacentral:rRNA from 1 species
AUUGAACGCUGGCGGCAUGCUUUACACAUGCAAGUCGAACGGUAACAGGCCGCAAGGUGCUGACGAGUGGCGAACGGGUGAGUAAUGCAUCGGAACGUGCCCAGUCGUGGGGGAUAACGCAGCGAAAGCUGCGCUAAUACCGCAUACGAUCUGUGGAUGAAAGCGGGGGACCUUCGGGCCUCGCGCGAUUGGAGCGGCCGAUGUCAGAUUAGGUAGUUGGUGGGGUAAAGGCUCACCAAGCCGACGAUCUGUAGCUGGUCUGAGAGGACGACCAGCCACACUGGGACUGAGACACGGCCCAGACUCCUACGGGAGGCAGCAGUGGGGAAUUUUGGACAAUGGGGGCAACCCUGAUCCAGCAAUGCCGCGUGCAGGAAGAAGGCCUUCGGGUUGUAAACUGGUUUUGUACGGAACGAAAAGGCUCUGGUUAAUACCUGGGGCACAUGACGGUACCGUAAGAAUAAGCACCGGCUAACUACGUGCCAGCAGCCGCAGUAACAC